rnacentral:snRNA from 1 species
GUUUCAGGCCCUCUUCAGCAGCAUGUAUGCAAACUGGAACAAAAUGAAGAUUAGAAUGGCCCCAAUGUAAGGAUAACAUGCAAAUUCACUAAUCAUUUCACAUUUAA